CACCGCCUGCAGCUUAUUGGAAAUCCGAUUAAAUAUGACAGAUUAACCUUUCAAGAAAACAAGCUUACAAUUAUGUUAACUCCAUCUGCAACUCACUCUGUAUAUUUGCCUGUCACUUAUCAGUCAUCACCAAUCAAUUCACAAAAUGGUAUUAAAUUGACUUGAAAUAUGGAAAUUAAUAAAAAUACAUUUGCAACUAAAUAAUAUCAGCCGAUAAUAAUAAAUUGUACGAUAAAUAUUUAAAACAUAAUAGGUAAAUAGGUUUAUUGUUUUAAAUUUCUAAUCGAAUGUAAAAUGUAACUUCAGUCCCCACUCUCCCGUACACAAAUUAAUAAUAAAUGUAUUUUAUUUUGAGAUUUCAAAAUAUAUGCUGCUCACUCUUUUUUUAAA